AUUGAACGCUGGCGGCAUGCCUUACACAUGCAAGUCGAACGGUAACGGGCCUUCGGGUGCCGCCGAGUGGCGAACGGGUGAGUAAUACAUCGGAACGUGCCCGAUCGUGGGGGAUAACGAGGCGAAAGCUUUGCUAAUACCGCAUACGAUCUACGGAUGAAAGCAGGGGACCGCAAGGCCUUGCGCGGACGGAGCGGCCGAUGGCAGAUUAGGUAGUUGGUGGGAUAAAAGCUUACCAAGCCGACGAUCUGUAGCUGGUCUGAGAGGAUGAUCAGCCACACUGGGACUGAGACACGGCCCAGACUCCUACGGGAGGCAGCAGUGGGGAAUUUUGGACAAUGGGCGCAAGCCUGAUCCAGCCAUGCCGCGUGCAGGAUGAAGGCCUUCGGGUUGUAAACUGCUUUUGUACGGAACGAAAAGCCUUCUUUUAAUACAGGAGGGUCAUGACGGUACCGUAAGAAUAAGCACCGGCUAACUACGU
rnacentral:rRNA from 1 species